AGGUGCUGUGGAUCAUUGAACUAAAUGACGGCCUUUGAUUCUCUGGUUACUUUCCCGAUCUCCCUGUCUCCUGACACUGUGUUGGCAGUCCACUUGUAAGAGGUACGACAGCAGCUUUCAUAAUGUUGUGCUGUAUUUCAUUUCAUUUUCUAGCAUUGAGUGUUGGUGAUUGCAUAUUUUUUACUUUUUAAAGCCCCGCAAGUGCCAAGGACUAAGGGCUUAUUGAAAGCAGCAGACUUGGCACAGAUGGGCUUCAACAGAGGUGAUGGGAUUCACUGCAAUAGAAAG